rnacentral:rRNA from 1 species
ACGAUAACGGCGUCGAGCGGCGGACGGGUGAGUAAUGCCUAGGAAAUUGCCCUGAUGUGGGGGAUAACCAUUGGAAACGAUGGCUAAUACCGCAUAAUGCCUACGGGCCAAAGAGGGGGACCUUCGGGCCUCUCGCGUCAGGAUAUGCCUAGGUGGGAUUAGCUAGUUGGUGAGGUAAUGGCUCACCAAGGCGACGAUCCCUAGCUGGUCUGAGAGGAUGAUCAGCCACACUGGAACUGAGACACGGUCCAGACUCCUACGGGAGGCAGCAGUGGGGAUAUUGCACAAUGGGCGCAAGCCUGAUGCAGCCAUGCCGCGUGUGUGAAGAAGGCCUUCGGGUUGUAAAGCACUUUCAGUCGUGAGGAAGGUAGUGUAGUUAAUAGCUGCAUUAUUUGACGUUAGCGACAGAAGAAGCACCGGCUAACUCCGUGCCAGCAGCCGCGGUAAUACGGAGGGUGCGAGCGUUUAUCGGAAUUACUGGGCGUAAAGCGCAUGCAGGUGGUUUGUUAAGUCAGAUGUGAAAGCCCGGGGCUCAACCUCGGAAUAGCAUUUGAAACUGGCAGACUAGAGUACUGUAGAGGGGGGUAGAAUUUCAGGUGUAGCGGUGAAAUGCGUAGAGAUCUGAAGGAAUACCGGUGGCGAAGGCGGCCCCCUGGACAGAUACUGACACUCAGAUGCGAAAGCGUGGGGAGCAAACAGGAUUAGAUACCCUGGUAGUCCACGCCGUAAACGAUGUCUACUUGGAGGUUGUGGCCUUGAGCCGUGGCUUUCGGAGCUAACGCGUUAAGUAGACCGCCUGGGGAGUACGGUCGCAAGAUUAAAACUCAAAUGAAUUGACGGGGGCCCGCACAAGCGGUGGAGCAUGUGGUUUAAUUCGAUGCAACGCGAAGAACCUUACCUACUCUUGACAUCCAGAGAACUUUCCAGAGAUGGAUUGGUGCCUUCGGGAACUCUGAGACAGGUGCUGCAUGGCUGUCGUCAGCUCGUGUUGUGAAAUGUUGGGUUAAGUCCCGCAACGAGCGCAACCCUUAUCCUUGUUUGCCAGCGAGUAAUGUCGGGAACUCCAGGGAGACUGCCGGUGAUAAACCGGAGGAAGGUGGGGACGACGUCAAGUCAUCAUGGCCCUUACGAGUAGGGCUACACACGUGCUACAAUGGCGCAUACAGAGGGCAGCAAGCUAGCGAUAGUGAGCGAAUCCCAAAAAGUGCGUCGUAGUCCGGAUUGGAGUCUGCAACUCGACUCCAUGAAGUCGGAAUCGCUAGUAAUCGUGGAUCAGAAUGCCACGGUGAAUACGUUCCCGGGCCUUGUACACACCGCCCGUCACACCAUGGGAGUGGGCUGCAAAAGAAGUAGGUAGUUUAACCUUCGGGAGGACGC